rnacentral:rRNA from 1 species
UACGUAGGGGGCAAGCGUUGUCCGGAAUUAUUGGGCGUAAAGCGCGCGCAGGCGGUCAUUUAAGUCUGGUGUUUAAUCCUGGGGCUCAACCCCAGUUCGCAUCGGAAACUGGAUGACUUGAGUGUAAGAGAGGAAAGUGGAAUUCCACGUGUAGCGGUGAAAUGCGUAGAGAUGUGGAGGAACACCAGUGGCGAAGGCGGUUCUCUGGGCCUUACCUGACGCUGAGGAGCGAAAGCGUGGGGAGCGAACAGG